UGGCAAAAUAAGAGCAUCUCCAUCUCUGAUUGCUUUUAAAAUUACCCUCAAGACACACCUAUUUUCUCAGACUUUUAACUGAAAAUAAUUUUAAACUAUUUAAUUAGUUUUACUUUGUUUUACAUUUGUUGUGUACGCCUAGGCAAACACACACAUAAAUGUGAUAGAUAGAUAGACAAAGGCAACCCAGUUUCCAGGCAAAGAUUAUCACACUGCUUAUCACACAGGAACUUAUAUUCCUGUGUUAUAAACAUCAGGGAGUUAAGCCACCAUCUGCUAUUAAAGCUCACUCCACUAGAGUGAUUUCAGCAGCUCAUAUCAUUAUGAGCAUUUGUAAAGUGACCACUUGGUCCUCAGACUUACCUGUCAUAAAACAUUAUGGCCUCAGACCAUGGCAGAGGCUAACUUUGGACAGGUAGUUUUGAAAAAGGUGCUUUAGUAACAUCCUUGCUCCCUGCCACCUUCAUGGUGAGCUCAUUAAUCACUCAAGUUGUGAAGGAUCCUGGAUCACCAUAAAUAUAAAUAGAUUGUUCACCUGUAACAGGUGAUCUCUAGGCAAUGUGAGAUAAUUUAAAACAUCUGCCCAGCCUACCUGCUGUUCAGAUGUUACUGUAAGCUACUUAACUUCAUUGAAUCAAAACAAAUAAUAGACCUUCAUAGUACUCUAUCAGGAACUGAGCAAGAGGCACUCUGUUGUGGAAGAUACUGAGUGUGCUUUGCGUGCUGUUACUGUGCAGGUGCAGAACCCAAGUUGCGAAUGAUCCUGGAAUUGAUCACCUAUAGAGCCCCUGGUGGUGCAGUGGUAAAACUGAUGCCCUGUAACCAGAAGGUUGCAAGUUCGAUCCUGACCAGGGGCUCAAGGUUGACUCAGCCUUCCAUCCUUCCGAGAGAUCCAAAGGGGGAUAUUUGUUGCACAGUGGUCAUCCAGAACUGAGUAAAAGAUGCUUCAACUGCCUCUUUCUAACAGCUGCACUGUGCACACAAGAGGAGGUGCUAGAGUGCCACGAGAAUCUUGGCAUCUUCCCAAAGAGUUUAUUGUGCAGACCCAAAACCCAAUUAGUGUGAAUACAUGAGGAUCACUUAAGGCAAGAGUUUCAGGAAAGAACAAUCUGCCCUUACUGUAUGAAUGUGAUGGACAUCAGAACUCAUUGGAUACAGCUGCUACAGAAGCAAAGAAAGAACACACGUAUGGCUGCACAUUCCUUCCGGACUGCAUUGUUUUUCUUCUUCCAGCAGCUGUUUUCAAGUGACCAACAAAGGAAGGUAUGACCUUCACAACCCCCCAGAACAAUCAGAGGACAUCAUUGGUACCCAGACUUGAAUGAGCUGCUAGGUACUAGCAGUUAAGAUGUUUUGGGUCACUCAGCAAGAGUGACUAUUUCACUUGGUGAAUGGCAUUUUUGUACUCCUCUGUAUGAGACAUAGUAAGCUUAAGGGAUCAGGGCUGGGGAACGAAGAAAAUCAGUGGAAGGUAAUAUCUUGCUCUGGACAAAAGCAGCCCUUUCUGGAUGACUGGUAAACACCCUUCCCCUUGGUCUGCUGUUACAAACUGUGCAUCUGUUCUGAAGUCUGUUAGGCUGGCUUCCUGUUCAGUUCUUUCCACUCAUUAUCUUUCCGUUUCUACCCACACCCAGAGCAACAUUUUUUUGCUUUGAUGACUAAAUGUUUAUAGCAACCAGAACUACCACAAAACUACUGAUAUAACACCACAGCAAGAGUUUCCUACUGAUUUUCAUAUUUUCUGUGUCAGGUUCUUUGCUUGGUAACGGAUUGCUAGGUCAAGAAUUUAUCUGGAUUCUCUGGCAAUACGUUCACAUUUCCUCCUGUGAACUGUACCCAAGCCUCCCACACAGUGAUCUCUCUCUCUCUCUCUCUCUCUCUCUCUCUCUCUCUCUCUCUCUCUCUCUCUCUCAGUGCUUUCUAAACUUUUUGCACAUAUCCUUGCUGGGACUGUAUUAACCCUAUUAAAUAAUUAGUAAGUUAAUACCUAUCAAUCAAUGACAAUCACCAGAUUAACUGGGUCAAUUAAUUUGCAUACUAUCCUUUUUGAGAUAUUGAAGGCAGUGAAAAGUAACUUAGUUUAUAGAAGGCACUCAAGGAAAAAUCACCCUUUAAUAUCUUUAUUCCCUAUUGCAGUAACACUAAAAUCAAACUAUCCUCACAAUGAUGUGCUUUUAAGCUGCAGAUCCAUUGAUUAAACAUCCCUAAUUGAUUAACAUGGGUUCCCAAUUAUUAAUUAGCUAAAGUUUUAGUUGACAAAGUUUAUUACCAAAUAAAUUUGUAGCCCUAACCUUUGUAAUACUUGUAGUAUUCAGAUUGAAUAGUGUAGUUUAUCUCAUCCAAAUUGUUUUAUGAACUUAUGAAUCUGCCUAAUACUAAGUCAGACAGUCUAUCUAACUCAGUAUUGUCUGCUCUGACUGGCAGUGACUCUCAAGAGUCACAGAUGCAGGUUUCCCCCAUCACCUAGCUGAUCCUUUAAUUUGAGAUACUAGAGAUUAAACCUGGGGCCACCUACAAUGCAAAGCAUGCGAUCAUGCAGGUUGUCUGAACCCUAUACUAGGAUCUGUCAAAGCCCCCUGUGGGUCUAGCAUUGGCCCAUAUGUCUCAGUUCUAUUUCUCUUUUUUAUGUCUGAUGCAUUGAUAAGUCCUUUGGAAUUAUUCUUUAUUGUGCAUUCACCUCAUCAGCUACUGUAUAGUGACAUUAGUUGCCUCUGUCUCUAUCUUAAAAUGAAAGUCCUUAGUGGGAAACACAGAUCUUGAGAGGUGGGAUGACAGAAUGAGAAGCCCCCUCCCCCCCAAAAAAGUGAAGAAAAGAGAGAAAAGUGUGCAACGGGGGAGGGGGGGGAGACAGCUAAACCAGACAUUCAAUAAUCAAGGGUGUCUUUGAUUAUCCCCAAAUUGGACUUCCAGAUCCUGACAGAGACAUUUUUAGAAACUAUUAAUAUUGUGCCUUGGAACAGUUAGUCAUUGACUUGACUAGAGGAAAGAUGACCCUCCUAAAGGGGUAGGCAACCUUGGCUCUCCAGCUAUAACCAAUUGUUGAACUACAGCUCCCGCAAUCUCCAAUCACAACUGAUUAUGGCUGGGAAUUAUGGGAGUUGUAGUUUAACAGCAGCUAGACAGCCAAGAUUGCUUGCUCCAAAGAGUUCAGAGAAUCUUAUGGUGAUGUGAGUGUUGUUGUCAAACCACUUGAAAACCAUGGCUGGCAUUCAGAGGAAGGAAGCAGUGAGAGGAGCAGACUAACAGCACUACCAGAUUCAAUGCACUGGUGAAGAGGCAAUUUUUUGAUGGUCUCCUCUUCCCCAGGAAGCCCUAUGUACCACAUUCUCAAGGCCAAACCAGAUGUAACUUCCAUCAUCUAACUGGUGGUGGCAUACUGCCAGAGCAGCGGAGAAGAAAGAGAGCUCAAAUCCUACCUCUUGCUACAGUCCUGAUCAAGAUUGUUUCCCAGCAACUAUUCAGCAAAUACUGAAUACCUUGAUUUCAGCAAAUGCUAACAAGUAUUUCAUGCCCAUCUCCCCCCACCCCAAACCCCGCCCCCCCACACACACUACAAUAUACUUCUUUC